GCCGACUUAGCUCAGUUGGUAGAGCGACUGUUUCGUAAACAGUAGGUCAUUGGUUCAAUUCCAAUAGUCGGCU
rnacentral:tRNA from 1 species